AAACAGAGUAACUAAGAUAGCAAAACUAAAGACCGAUGGACAACAUCUACCACAAAACUAGGUAUAAACCUGGACAUCAGAACAGAAAAAUUAUCAGAACAAAGACAACGCCAUAAAUAAGGGGUGAACAAGUAGAACAAAUAAAUGGAUGAAUAAGAGAAUGAAUAAACAAUGAGUCUGGGCUGGGCUAUAAUCCCAACACUUCGGGAGGCCAAGGAGGGAGGAUUGCUUGAGGCCAGGAGUUUGAGACUAGGCUGGGCAACACAGCAAAACUGGCUCUACAUAAAUCUUAACAAAUAAAAGAAAAGAAAAGGAAAAAGGGGGAAAAAAUUAGUCUGAACACUGCAAAAUUGCCCCUAGGCCAGGUACAUGGUGAUGUUGGCUGUAUCCUGGCGUAGUGACAAUUUCUGUUGCCGUAGACAUCCCAGGAAAUUUUCUCCUCCUCUGCUCUUCAGGAAGUUUGACCACUCCAUGACACAUGGGGACAUUUCCAAUGUCAAAAAUUAUAACCAACGAUAAAAACUUUUUUAAUCCAAGCAACAACCAUCUC
rnacentral:lncRNA from 1 species